rnacentral:lncRNA from 1 species
UUUGCCCAUAUGGAAGUUGAUCUUUUGCCCUCUUUCCGCCCUAGUCCAAGCUGCCAAUUGAUCCUCCCAGGAAACGAAAAACACAUGCCCGUAAUAUUGAACGUGUUGUCCGUGAUCCUGAAGUAAGAAAUCACAUUUUCUGCCCUGAUUCUCUCCCCGCAGAUCGAGCCAAAAAGGGUUGGUGGCCAACACUUAAGCUAGUUUCCAGUCCGGAUUCAUCAGGAAAAUCUUCAAGGAUUCGGUUUUCAUGAAGUCGAUGAUUGUUUCAUUUCAUAAAAGGAUUGAGAUUCUCCUGUAAAAGGCCACAUUCAGAUACACCAAAUAGACUUUGUGAGCGCAACAAAACAGAGGGCACUUACAUCCUUCCAAGAGAAAUAAGAGACUCUGUUAUCAAGGAGGGAGAAGAGAAAGCAACAUCCUCAAGCAACUUAUGGGUUUUAAUUUGUUCUUAUAGUUCCAGUGUAUUCGGCAACAGACUUGUUGAAUCUUU